UACGGAGGAUGCGAGCGUUAUCCGGAUUUACUGGGCGUAAAGCGUGCGUAGGCGGCUAAUUAAGUCGGUUGUGAAAUCCCCGAGCUCAACUUGGGAAUUGCAUUCGAUACUGGUUAGCUAGAGUAUGGGAGAGGAUGGUAGAAUUCCAGGUGUAGCGGUGAAAUGCGUAGAGAUCUGGAGGAAUACCGAUGGCGAAGGCAGCCAUCUGGCCUAAUACUGACGCUGAGGUACGAAAGCAUGGGGAGCAAACAGGAUUAGAUACCCUGGUAGUCCAUGCCGUAAACGAUGUCUACUAGCCGUUGGGGCCUUUGAGGCUUUAGUGGCGCAGCUAACGCGACAAGUAGACCGCCUGGGGAGUACGGUCGCAAGACUAAA
rnacentral:rRNA from 1 species